rnacentral:rRNA from 1 species
CAGCCGCCGCGGUAAUACAGAGGGUGCAAGCGUUAAUCGGAAUUACUGGGCGUAAAGCGCGCGUAGGUGGUUCGCCAAGUUGGAUGUGAAAUCCCCGGGCUCAACCUGGGAACUGCAUCCAAAACUGGCGAGCUAGAGUAUGGUAGAGGGUGGUGGAAUUUCCUGUGUAGCGGUGAAAUGCGUAGAUAUAGGAAGGAACAUCAGUGGCGAAGGCGACCACCUGGACUGAUACUGACACUGAGGUGCGAAAGCGUGGGGAGCAAACAGGAUUAGAGACCCCGGUAGUCCCUGUCUCUUAUAC